rnacentral:rRNA from 1 species
UUAAAAGACCUAGCAAUAGGUAUGCUUAGGGAAGAGCUUGCGUCACAUUAGUUAGUUGGUGGGGUAAUGGCCUACCAAGACGAUGAUGUGUAGCCGGGCUGAGAGGUCGAACGGCCACAUUGGGACUGAGACACGGCCCAAACUCCUACGGGAGGCAGCAGUAAGGAAUUUUCGGCAAUGGAGGAAACUCUGACCGAGCAAUGCCGCGUGAACGAUGAAGUAUUUUGGUACGUAAAGUUCUUUUAUUAGGGAAGAAAAGAUGGUGGAAAAACCAUUAUGACGGUACCUAAUGAAUAAGCCCCGGCUAACUAUGUGCCAGCAGCCGCGGUAAUACAUAGGGGGCAAGCGUUAUCCGGAAUUAUUGGGCGUAAAGGGUGCGUAGGCGGUUAAAUAAGUUUAUGGUCUAAGUGCAACGCUCAACGUUGUGAUGCUAUAAAAACUGUUUAGCUAGAGUUGGAUAGAGGCAAGUGGAAUUCCGUGUGUAGUGGUAAAAUGCGUAAAUAUACGGAGGAACACCAGAAGCGAAGGCGGCUUGCUGGGUCUUAACUGACGCUGAGGCACGAAAGCGUGGGGAGCAAACAGGAUUAGAUACCCUGGUAGUCCACGCCCUAAACGAUGAGUACUAAACGUUGGAUAAAACCAGUGUUGAAGUUAACACAUUAAGUACUCCGCCUGAGUAGUACGUACGCAAGUAUGAAACUUAAAGGAAUUGACGGGACUCCGCACAAGCGGUGGAUCAUGUUGUUUAAUUCGAAGGUACCCGAAAAACCUCACCAGGUCUUGACAUGCUUUUGCAAAGCUGUAGAAAUACAGUGGAGGUUAUCAGAAGCACAGGUGGUGCAUGGUUGUCGUCAGCUCGUGUCGUGAGAUGUUGGGUUAAGUCCCGCAACGAGCGCAACCCUUGUUGUUAAUUGCCAUCAUUAAGUUGGGGACUUUAGCAAGACUGCCAAUGAUAAAUUGGAGGAAGGUGGGGACGACGUCAAAUCAUCAUGCCCCUUAUGACCUGGGCUACAAACGUGAUACAAUGGCUGUUACAAAGGGUAGCUAAAGCGUAAGCUUCUGGCGAAUCUCAAAAAAACAGUCUCAGUUCGGAUUG